rnacentral:rRNA from 1 species
GACGAACGCUGGCGGCGUGCUUAACACAUGCAAGUCGAACGGAAAGGCCCUGCUUGCAGGGUACUCGAGUGGCGAACGGGUGAGUAACACGUGGGUGAUCUGCCCUGCACUUCGGGAUAAGCUUGGGAAACUGGGUCUAAUACCGGAUAGGAACCAUCUUUAGUGUGGUGGUUGGAAAGUUUUUUCGGUGUAGGAUGAGCUCGCGGCCUAUCAGCUUGUUGGUGGGGUAAUGGCCUACCAAGGCGGCGACGGGUAGCCGGCCUGAGAGGGUGUACGGCCACAUUGGGACGGAGAUACGGCCCAGACUCCGACGGGAGGCAGCAGUGGGGAAUAUUGCACAAUGGGCGCAAGCCUGAGGCAGCGACGCCGCGUGGGGGAUGAAGGCCUUCGGGUUGUAAACUCCUUUCGCUAGGGACGAAGCUUUGUUGUGACGGUACCUAGAUAAGAAGCACCGGCUAACUACGUG